rnacentral:rRNA from 1 species
UUCUGGCUCAGGAUGAACGCUAGCUACAGGCUUAACACAUGCAAGUCGAGGGGCAGCAUUGGAGUAGCAAUACUCAGAUGGCGACCGGCGCACGGGUGAGUAACACGUAUCCAACCUGCCGCUUACUCGGGGAUAGCCUUUCGAAAGAAAGAUUAAUACCCGAUGGUAUAAAGAGUUCGCAUGUUCUCUUUAUUAAAGAAUUUCGGUAAGCGAUGGGGAUGCGUUCCAUUAGAUAGUUGGCGGGGUAACGGCCCACCAAGUCUACGAUGGAUAGGGGUUCCGAGAGGAAGGUCCCCCACAUUGGAACUGAGACACGGUCCAAACUCCUACGGGAGGCAGCAGUGAGGAAUAUUGGUCAAUGGACGAGAGUCUGAACCAGCCAAGUAGCGUGAAGGAUGACUGCCCUAUGGGUUGUAAACUUCUUUUAUAAGGGAAUAAAGUGAGGGACGUGUCCCUUUUUGUAUGUACCUUAUGAAUAAGGAUCGGCUAACUCCGUGCCAGCAGCUGC